AUAAUUGUCAGCUAAGUGGCGCACGGGUGAGUAAUGUAUAGAUAACCUGCCCUUAAGAAAGGAAUAACAGUUGGAAACGACUGCUAAUGCCCUAUAUGCCUUUAAUACAUAAGUAUGCAAGGGAAGCGCUUUAGUGCUUAAGGAUGGGUCUGUAUGGUAUCAGCUUGUUGGUGAGGUAAUGGCUCACCAAGGCUAUGACGCCUAACUGGUUUGAGAGGAUGAUCAGUCACACUGGAACUGAGACACGGUCCAGACUCCUACGGGAGGCAGCAGUGGGGAAUAUUGCACAAUGGACGAAAGUCUGAUGCAGCAACGCCGCGUGGAGGAUGACACAUUUCGGUGCGUAAACUCCUUUUAUAUAGGAAGAUAAUGACGGUACUAUAUGAAUAAGCACCGGCUAACUCCGUGCCAGCAGCCGCGGUAAUACGGAGGGUGCAAGCGUUACUCGGAAUCACUGGGCGUAAAGAGCGUGUAGGCGGGUAUAUAAGUCAGAAGUGAAAUCCAAUAGCUCAACUAUUGAACUGCUUUUGAAACUGUAUACCUAGAAUGUGGGAGAGGUAGAUGGAAUUUCUGGUGUAGGGGUAAAAUCCGUAGAGAUCAGAAGGAAUACCGAUUGCGAAGGCGAUCUACUGGAACAUUAUUGACGCUGAGACGCGAAAGCGUGGGGAGCAAACAGGAUUAGAUACCCUGGUAGUCCACGCCCUAAACGAUGUACACUAGUUGUUGUGAGGCUCGACCUUGCAGUAAUGCAGUUAACACAUUAAGUGUACCGCCUGGGGAGUACGGUCGCAAGAUUAAAA
rnacentral:rRNA from 1 species